rnacentral:rRNA from 1 species
CUUGUCUCAAAGAUUAAGCCAUGCAUGUCUAAGUAUAAGCAAUCUAUACUGUGAAACUGCGAAUGGCUCAUUAAAUCAGUUAUCGUUUAUUUGAUAGUACCUUACUACUUGGAUAACCGUGGUAAUUCUAGAGCUAAUACAUGCUAAAAACCUCGACUUCGGAAGGGGUGUAUUUAUUAGAUAAAAAACCAAUGCCCUUCGGGGCUCCUUGGUGAUUCAUAAUAACUUAACGAAUCGCAUGGCCUUGCGCCGGCGAUGGUUCAUUCAAAUUUCUGCCCUAUCAACUUUCGAUGGUAGGAUAGUGGCCUACCAUGGUUUCAACGGGUAACGGGGAAUUAGGGUUCUAUUCCGGAGAGGGAGCCUGAGAAACGGCUACCACAUCCAAGGAAGGCAGCAGGCGCGCAAAUUACCCAAUCCCGACACGGGGAGGUAGUGACAAUAAAUACUGAUACAGGGCUCUUUUGGGUCUUGUAAUUGGAAUGAGUACAAUUUAAAUCCCUUAACGAGGAACAAUUGGAGGGCAAGUCUGGUGCCAGCAGCCGCGGUAAUUCCAGCUCCAAUAGCGUAUAUUAAAGUUGUUGCAGUUAAAAAGCUCGUAGUUGAACCUUGGGCCUGGCUGGCCGGUCCGCCUCCCGCGUGCCUGGUCCGGCCGGGCCUUUCCUUCUGGGGAGCCGCUGCCCUUC